rnacentral:tRNA from 1 species
GGGAGAAUAGUUCUAAUGGUAGAACAGUGGUCUCCAAAACCAAAGGAUAGGGGUUCGAAUCCCUUUUCUCCCG